rnacentral:rRNA from 1 species
GACGAACGCUCGCUGCGUGCUUAACACAUGCACGUCGAGCGGGGAGGCCCAGCUGUUGUCGGGUGCUCGAGAGGCGAACGGGUAAGUAACAAAAAAGCAACCUCUCCUUGACAUUGAAAUAACAUCCGAACACUGUGGCUGAUACCUGUAAUCACCUCCUGCCCCGAGGCGGAGGUUGGAGAGUUGCGGCGGCUGGGGAUGGAGUCGCGGCUUAUAAGCAUGUGGGUGGGGUAGACGCUUACCAAGGCUUUGAGGGGUAGCCGGCCUGAGAGGGUGACCGGCCAAAUUGGGACUGAGAUACGGCCCAGCGUCCGACGGGAGGCAGCAGUGGGGAAUAGUGCACAAUGGGCGGAAGCCUGAUGCAGUAACGCCGCGUGCGGGAUGACGGUCUUCCGGUUGUACACCGCUUUCGCCUGUGACGAAGCGCGAGUGACGGUAAUGGGUAAAGAAGCACCGGCUAACUACGUG